rnacentral:lncRNA from 1 species
GCUCUCUCUGUUUGCUUUUGCCACUUUCAAGAUUUUAACUUCUCAGGUUAUUAAUCAAAAUUAUUGUAUAAGUUAGCCAAUAGAAUUUUUAGGUUAAAACAACAGAUGGGGGGUUUUUGGAGUGUUUAAUGUCAUGGGCAUUUUUAGUAGCAUAGACCCUUUGUUCUGCAUUUGAAUGUUUCGUAUAUUUUUGUUUCACAGUUAAUCUUUCCUCCCCAAGUUUGCUAUUCAAAUCAACUGCCUGAAUGACAUUUCUAGUAGUCUGAUGAAUUUUUUUGAGGAAUAGUUUGUGAUUCCAAUGCAGGUGUCUUCAUUACCAUUACCUCUACACUGCAGAAGAAGCAAAACUCCUUUAUUAGAAUUACUGCACAUGUGUAUGGGGAAAAUAUUUCUGAAAGGCUAGAAUGAUACAAGUGAGCAAAAGUUGGUCAGCUUGGCUAUGGAGUGGUG